UAAUUAAGCGGAGGAAAAGAAACUAACCAGGAUUGACGUAGUAAGGGCGACUGAAGCGUCAUGAGCACAGGUUGUGAACCGACGUUCCGUGUGAGCGUCGAAUUGUGAUCUAGAGCCAUUCUCAUUCUAGGUUGGCCCAAGUCCAUUGGAAGGUGGCAGCAGAGAGGGUGAUACUCCCGUCCGGCAGACCUAGUGAGAGCGUGGCGUCGAGUCGAGUUGUUUGGGAUUGCAGCUCCAAGUCGGUGGUAAAUUCCACCCAAUGCUAAAUACCGGUGAGAAACCGAUAGCGCACAAGUACCGUGAGGGAAAGAUGCAAAGAACUUUGAAAAGAGAGUUAAAGAGUACCUGAAAUUGCUGAAAAGGAAGCGAAGGAAACUAGUGUCAGCCGUGUCAUACUUCCCCGUUCGCUUGCGGGUGGGGCGCUGUGACUGGCGCAGUCGAAACAGAUUCAUUUGGGUGCAAACUGCGCCAAGGGAGUUGCCCGUGGCGCACGAGUACUCGACUGGAUGUGUUGCUUUUGGACGAAAUGGUUUCCUUUUCCCCG
rnacentral:rRNA from 1 species